AGCGAACGCUGGCGGCAGGCCUAACACAUGCAAGUCGAGCGCCGUAGCAAUACGGAGCGGCAGACGGGAGAGUAACACGUGGGAACGUGCCCUUCAGUUCGGAACAACCCAGGGAAACUUGGGCUAAUACCGGAUACGUCUGUAAGGAGAAAGAUUUAUCGCUGAAGGAUCGGCCCGCGUCUGAUUAGCUAGUUGGUGAGGUAACGGCUCACCAAGGCGAUGAUCAGUAGCUGGUCUGAGAGGACGAUCAGCCUCACUGGGACUGAGACACGGCCCAGACUCCUGCGGGAGGCAGCAGUGGGGAAUAUUGGAAAAUGGGCGCAAGCCUGAUCCAGCCAUGCCGCGUGGGUGAUGAAGGCCCUAGGGUUGUAAAGCCCUUUCGGCGGGGAAGAUAAUGACGGUACCCGCAGAAGAAGCCCCGGCUAACUUCGUGCCAGCAGCCGCCGUAA
rnacentral:rRNA from 1 species